rnacentral:rRNA from 1 species
CGUAGGUGAACCAGCGGAGGGAUCAUUACAGAGUUAUCCAACUCCCAAACCCAUGUGAACAUAUCUCUUUGUUGCCUCGGCGCAAGCUACCCGGGACCUCGCGCCCCGGGCGGCCCGCCGGCGGACAAACCAAACUCUGUUAUCUUCGUUGAUUAUCUGAGUGUCUUAUUUAAUAAGUCAAAACUUUCAACAACGGAUCUCUUGGUUCUGGCAUCGAUGAAGAACGCAGCGAAAUGCGAUAAGUAAUGUGAAUUGCAGAAUUCAGUGAAUCAUCGAAUCUUUGAACGCACAUUGCGCCCAUUAGUAUUCUAGUGGGCAUGCCUGUUCGAGCGUCAUUUCAACCCCUAAGCACAGCUUAUUGUUGGGCGUCUACGUCUGUAGUGCCUCAAAGACAUUGGCGGAGCGGCAGCAGUCCUCUGAGCGUAGUAAUUCUUUAUCUCGCUUCUGUUAGGCGCUGCCCCCCCGGCCGUAAAACCCCCAAUUUUUUCUGGUUGACCUCGGAUCAGGUAGGAAUACCCGCUGAACUUAAGCAUAUCAAUAAGCGGAGGAAAAGAAACCAACAGGGAUUCCCCUAGUAACU